rnacentral:lncRNA from 1 species
UUUUGGCUAGAGAUCCCUUUGAGGGGCGCCAAGAGUUGGUGCCCCAACCACCUGACAUGUAUUCCAUGGAUGCCCAUUAUACAUAUUUAAAAGGGCUGAUUAAUUAUCAUUUAUAUCUGAUUUUAUUUAACAUAAAUCAGAUUUAAAAGAUAAAGAAUUCUUAUGAAAUAAGAAUCUACCUUUUUAAGUUGAUAGGAUUCCUAAUAUGUGUCAGGAUUUGUGUCUAUUUAAAGGGAGGCUUCUAGGGUUUCAAGAUUGAUUGAAUUUUUGAUCAACAAAACUCUCCCUCUCUCCAUCUCCACACCUCCUCUCAUCAUUUUCUUCUUUUCCACAUCCCAAAAGUUUGAUGCUCUUUCUUCCACAUGCCUAGAAGAAGUUCUGGUGACUUAGAGAUUGAGGAUCGAGGAGAAGAAGAAGAAGACUGCAGAUUAAGAAGUUGAACUCGUAGUUAAGAUCAAAGGAGUUGAUCAAAGUCUUCAAGGUCAAGGUUCUUCUUGAGAAGAAAAAUCUCAUAUGAAAAGAAAAAAUUCAAGAUCAAUCCCGAUGGAUAUCUGUAGAGGUUGGAUACGUGUGCGGCUCAACCUUCUACGAAUCCAAGAUCAUCAAUAGUGAUAAAUUUCUAUCUGUGCAAAGAUAAUGAGAUCUAUCUCAUUAAUUUUUUUUAAAUUUUAGAUUGAUAAUAUAUGCUUUUUCUAAGCUUGGAUAGGUUUAGAUCUGGUAUUUAGCAUGUGGAGUUAAAGGGUUUAAUCCAUUUUGUUUUUCACUGUCUGUUUUCAAAGUUUUGAAAUCUACACAUACUGUCUAUCCGAUUUUCUAAUAGUCCCAACACCUGUUGGUUGGCCAAAUAAGGAGAGAGAAGUCCAAAAAAAAGUGAGCUCAGGUGGUCUUCUUCAAUUAGAUCUAAUUUGGGUUUAAAUCGAAUCUAAUUCAAGUCCGAUUCCUAAUUCCAAUGCAACACUUGCAAUUAAGUCCCUUAUGCUAACAAUUAGCAGUUUUCAAAUUUGUAACUCUUACAAAUUGAUCCAAAUCAUCAAUCUAAUUGAUAAUUUAAUUAUGAUCCAAGCUAUUGAUCAGGACGAGCUUCUUUUCUAUGUGAUCCUUCAGAUUCUAUUCUAUCUGAUAGUGAGACAUAGCGUGAUCUCCAUCAUAGUAUUAUUGAAAUUUUUUUCAAUGGACUGGAACCAUUCCAACUCAUCCUAACAAGGAUCGUUGAUUCAAAAAUGAUCCUAGUGAGAAUAAAUCUACCAGUGAUGUCUAGCAGUAUGUAGUGAUAACCCAACAAAACAGAAAGAUGAAUCUUUAAGUAUAGUUACUGUGUGAUCAAGUUCUUCUAUCGAAAGUUUCAACAUGAUGUAGACCAUAGAACCUCGUCAAAUCUUAAACAUCCAUCAUAUGCCACACUUAAAUUAGCUUGAAUCCAAUUGUGAAUCUCAUAAAAACUUCUUUCCAUAAUCAUACUCAUUUUCAUAAUCCGUUAUACGCCACAGACUUAUGGACUCAGCCUCUUAGGUUGCAUAAGACUACUCCUCAACUACUAAGACCGAUAGAUCUCUUAUAAGUACACUCCUACUCCUACAGCGAACUUACUGCAGCCAACAUCCAGUAUAAGGAUCCAUAUGUUAGAGACCAUAUUUAUGUAUAGUCAAAUUACAACAACCUCACUAUGAGUAGUCGAGGCACUGUAGAUCAAAGAACCACUCACACAACUACAGCAUCGAGAAGUCACUGAUGAGUGAGUAGGCAUCCAUAUGAUUUCUCAUUUUUAGUUACCUCAGUACCGUUAUUCUCUAACAACCAUCUGCACUCUCACUCCAGUGUUUCUACAUUAUAAACUCAAGACUCGUCUAUCCAAAAGAAAGCUAUCCGUGCACUAGUCAAGUCAGAUCAAUCACCAUCCUCGUGAUGAUCAUCGAUUGGAAGUAAUUUAGAAAUUAAUCUAUAAUGACACAUAUCUUAAAUUCUCAAUUCUUGAGAAUAUGUGUCAUUGAUCAUUAGCUCUUUGGAUGAUUUUAAGAUACAUUACUCUAAAAUAGAAAUAAUUAUUCAUAAUUUUUAAUUUUAAUAAAUCAAGUAUAAAUUUAUGUCUUAAAAAUUAUAAUGU